rnacentral:rRNA from 1 species
AUUGAACGCUGGCGGCAGGCUUAACACAUGCAAGUCGAACGAGUGGCGGACGGGUGAGUAAUGCUUGGGAAUCUAGCUUAUGGAGGGGGAUAACUACGGGAAACUGUAGCUAAUACCGCGUACCAUAGGAUGAGCCAAAGGUGGAUUAGGUAGUUGGUGAGGUAAAGGCUCACCAAUCCGACGAUCUCUAGCUGGUCUGCGAGGAUGACCAGCCACACUGGGACUUAGACACGGCCCAGACUCCUACGGGAGGCAGCAGUGGGGAAUAUUGCGCAAUGGGGGCAACCUGACGCAGCCAUGCCGCGUGAAUGAAGAAGGCCUUCGGGUUGUAAAGUUCUUUCGGUAGCGAGGCGUUAACUACAGAAGAAGCACCGGCUAACGCCGGGCCAGCAGCCGCGGUAAUAC